AGACACCAGGGAGCAUUUCACAGAAGUUUGUGAUGUAAAUGGUGUCACCCCCUCCUGUCCCCUAAGUGCAGAUAAAGGAAAAGCUCCAUUGGUACAUUACAAAAAUAAAUAAAUAAAUUUAAAGAGGGAUGAUGAUAAUGAUGAUGAUGCAAGGCCAGCGGAUGUGACCCUGUAGAGCAGAGGUAGGCAGAGCCCAUAUCCUCCUGGCUCCCCUGGGAUUUUCCAAAUUCCAUAGCAGAAAGGGGAAAUGAAGUCCAUUACUAUGCUGGAAGCUCCUGAAUGGUUCAUAGACACCACCG
rnacentral:lncRNA from 1 species